AAGUCGUAACAAGGUUUCCGUAGGUGAACCUGCGGAAGGAUCAUUAAUGAAAUGAUGGUUUUUUGGGGUUUUCCCUGAAAAAUAAUUCACCACUUGUGCAUUGUUAUUAGAUAUACUUUGGUUAGAGCUUUGAUUUCAUUUAUUGGAAUCAACUUCUUGCCGACUCUAUCCUGUUAAGGACAGUUGGCUAUGAAGCGGCCUACCAAGGAUUUUAUCAAACACUUGUAUUUUGUCUGACCUAAAAUCAAAUAAUUAAAUCAUAACUUUCAACAACGGAUCUCUUGGCUCUC
rnacentral:misc_RNA from 1 species